rnacentral:rRNA from 1 species
GACGAACGCUGGCGGCGUGCUUAACACAUGCAAGUCGAACGGAAAGGCCCUGCUUUUGUGGGGUGCUCGAGUGGCGAACGGGUGAGUAACACGUGAGUAACCUGCCCUUGACUUUGGGAUAACUUCAGGAAACUGGGGCUAAUACCGGAUAGGAGCUCCUGCUGCAUGGUGGGGGUUGGAAAGUUUCGGCGGUUGGGGAUGGACUCGCGGCUUAUCAGCUUGUUGGUGGGGUAGGUGCUUACCAAGGCUUUGACGGGUAGCCGGCCUGAGAGGGUGAACGGCCACAUUGGGACUGAGAUACGGCGCAGACUCCUACGGGAGGCAGCAGUGGGGAAUAUUGCACAAUGGGCGGGAGCCUGAUGCAGCAACGCCGCGUGCGGGAUGACGGCCUUCGGGUUGUAAACCGCUUUCGCCUGUGACGAAGCGUGAGUGACGGUAAUGGGUAAAGAAGCACCGGCUAACUACGUG